GACGAACGCUGGCGGCGUGCUUAACACAUGCAAGUCGAACGCUGAAGACCUGGCGUUUGUUGGGGUGGAUGAGUGGCGAACGGGUGAGUAAUACGUGAGUAACCUGCCCUCUUCUUUGGGAUAACGCCCGGAAACGGGUGCUAAUACUGGAUAUUCACUGAUCUUCGCAUGGGGGUUGGUGGAAAGGUUUGUUCUGGUGGGGGAUGGGCUCGCGGCCUUUCAGCGUGUUGGUGGGGUGAUGGCCUACCAAGGCUUUGACGGGUAGCCGGCCUGAGAGGGUGACCGGUCACAUUGAGACUGAGAUACGGCCCAGACUCCUACGAGAGGCAGCAGUGGGGAAUAUUGCACAAUGGGCGAAAGCCUGAUGCAGCGGCGCCGCGUGAGAGAUGGAGGCCUUGGGGUUGUAAACCUCUUUCGAUCAUGGUCAAGCCGCAACUGUGGGUUGUGGUGAGGGUAGUGGAUAAAGAAGCGCCGGCUAACUACGUG
rnacentral:rRNA from 1 species